rnacentral:tRNA from 3 species
GCGGGUGUAGCUCAGCUGGUAGAGCGUCAGCUUCCCAAGCUGAAUGUCGCGGGUUCGAAUCCCGUCGCCCGCUCCA